rnacentral:rRNA from 1 species
AUUGAACGCUGGCGGCAGGCCUAACACAUGCAAGUCGAACGAGUGGCGGACGUGUGAGUAAUGUCUGGGAAACUGCCUGAUGGAGGGGGAUAACUACUGGAAACGGUAGCUAAUACCGCAAACCAUCGGAUUUGCCCAGAUGGGAUUAGCUAGUAGGUGGGGUAAAGGCUAACCGAGGCGACGAUCCCUAGCUGGUCUGAGAGGAGGACCAGCCACACUGGAACUGAGACACGGUCCAGACUCCUACGGGAGGCAGCAGUGGGGAAUAUUGCACAAUGGGCGAAAGCCUGAUGCAGCAAUGCCGCGUGUAUGAAGAAGGCCUUCGGGUUGUAAAGUACUUUCAGCGGGGAGGCGUUACCCGCAGAAGAAGCACCGGCUAACUCCGUGCCAGCCGCCGCGGUAAUAC